UAAAACUCCCGCAAACGCAUCC
rnacentral:siRNA from 1 species